rnacentral:rRNA from 1 species
AUACGGAGGAUGCGAGCGUUAUCCGGAUUUAUUGGGUUUAAAGGGAGCGUAGGCGGGAGCUUAAGUCAGCGGUUAAAUGGUGCGGCUCAACCGUGCCCUGCCGUUGAAACUGGGUUUCUUGAGAGUGCAAGAGGCGGAUGGAAUUCAUGGGGUAGGGGUGAAAUGCUUAGAUAUCAUGAAGAACUCCGAUUGCGAAGGCAGUCCGCUGGGGCACGUCUGACGCUGAUGCUCGAAGGUGCGGGAAUCAAACAGGAUUAGAUACCCUGGUAGUCCGCACGGUAAACGAUGAUUACCCGCUGUCGGCGGUAGACAGUCGGCGGCCAAGCGAAAGCGAUAAGUAAUCCACCUGGGGAGUACGCCGGCAACGGUGAAACUCAAAGGAAUUGGCGGGG